rnacentral:rRNA from 1 species
AACGAACGCUGGCGGCAGGCCUAACACAUGCAAGUCGAGCGAAGCCUUCGGGCUUAGCGGCGGACGGGUGAGUAACGCGUGGGAACGUGCCCUUUGCUACGGAAUAGCCCCGGGAAACUGGGAGUAAUACCGUAUGUGCCCUUUGGGGGAAAGAUUUAUCGGCAAAGGAUCGGCCCGCGUUGGAUUAGGUAGUUGGUGGGGUAAUGGCCUACCAAGCCGACGAUCCAUAGCUGGUUUGAGAGGAUGAUCAGCCACACUGGGACUGAGACACGGCCCAGACUCCUACGGGAGGCAGCAGUGGGGAAUCUUAGACAAUGGGCGCAAGCCUGAUCUAGCCAUGCCGCGUGAUCGAUGAAGGCCUUAGGGUUGUAAAGAUCUUUCAGGUGGGAAGAUAAUGACUGUACCACCAGAAGAAGCCCCGGCUAACUCCGUGCCAGCAGCCGCGGUAACAC